AUUGAACGCUGGCGGCAUGCUUUACACAUGCAAGUCGGACGAGCGGCGAACGGGUGAGUAACGUAUCGGAACGUACCGAGUCAUGGGGGAUAACUGCUCGAAAGGACAGCUAAUACCGCAUACUAUCCGAGCUGCCCAUGUCUGAUUAGCUGGUUGGUGGGGUAAAGGCCCACCAAGGCGACGAUCAGUAGCGGGUCUGAGAGGAUGAUCAGCCACACUGUGACGGAGACACGGUCCAGACUCCUACGGGAGGCAGCAGUGGGGAAUAUUGGACAAUGGGCGCAAGCCUGAUGCAGCCAUGCCGCGUGUCUGAAGAAGGCCUUCGGGUUGUAAAGGACUUUUGUCAGGGAAGCGGUACCUGAAGAAGAAGCACCGGCUAACUACGUGCCAGCAGCCGCGGUAAUUC
rnacentral:rRNA from 1 species